ACUUUUAAUGGACAUUAGCAGCCCGA
rnacentral:tRNA from 1 species